GAUGAAGAACGCAGCGAAAUGCGAUAAGUAAUGUGAAUUGCAGAAUUCAGUGAAUCAUCGAAUCUUUGAACGCAUCUUGCGCUCCUUGGUAUUCUGAGGAGCAUGCCUGUUUGAGUGUCAUUAAAUUCUCAACUACACUGACUUUGAAUUGGUGUGGCUUGGAUUUGGGGGGGAAAAUUGUUGUGGGCUUUUUGUAUAGUCUGCUCCCCUGAAAUUGAUUAGCGGUACCUUUGUGGAACUGUCUACAGGUGUGAUAAUUAUCUACAUCCUAGACAUCUGCUGGAAUGCUGCUUUCUAAACCUUACUUGUAUUGACAAUCUUGACCUCAAAUCAUGUAGGACUACCCGCUGAACUUAAGCAUAUCAAUAAGCGGAGGA
rnacentral:misc_RNA from 1 species